AUUGAACGCUGGCGGCAUGCCUUACACAUGCAAGUCGAACGGCAGCACGGGAUUCAGGCAACUGAGCCCUGGUGGCGAGUGGCGAACGGGUGAGUAAUGCAUCGGAACGUGCCCAGUAGUGGGGGAGUAACUAGUCGAAAGAUUAGCUAAUACCGCAUACGACCUAUGGGUGAAAGCGGGGGAGUUCGCAAGAACCUCGCGCUAUCGGAGCGGUCGAUGCUGAUUAGCUAGUUGGCGGGGGUAAAAGGACCCACCAAGGCUUCGAUCAGUAGCUGGUCUGAGAGGACGACCAGCCACACUGGGACUGAGACACGGCCCAGACUCCUACGGGAGGCAGCAGUGGGGAAGUUUUGGUACAAUGGGCGCAAGCCUGAUCCAGCCAUGCCGCGUGCGGGAAGAAGGCCUUCGGUUGUAACGU
rnacentral:rRNA from 1 species